GGGGUUUAUGGAGGAGUGGGACCUCAGAAGUAUAUAAUGCCUUAGAGUCUACCCUUCAAAGCAUUCAUUUUCUCCAGGGAAAUUGUUUUUUGUGUGUGUUUUGUUUUUAUGUUUUAAUGUCAAGUUUUGUAGAGUAAAGUAUUCCCUUUUACCUCAGAGUCAACUUGGAGCAGGUUGCUGUAGGAUGAAAUGGAGAGGAGAACCAUGUAUGUUACUUCAGCUCCUUGAAGGAUGGGUGGAAUAAAACUACAAUAUCGAGAUGACAAGGAUUCAACAGGUGAAGCAGCUCCCUGCUGUGGUGGCAAAGACUCUACCUGUUUAAUUUCUAUCUGUCAUGCAGCUGUUGGUGGCAAAGGAGACCUGGCUGGACAAAAAGUAAAUUGUAUUUUCAGUUACAAAUGAGCAAAUCACAGUGAGCCUUUAGUUUGGCAGCUAAUGUAACUUCAUACCUCCUAAAAUUAAAAUUCUUCAUGCUAGUCAGUAAUACAGGUAUCACUGCUUCAUAAUAGUGUGUUGCACCCUCAGGAAUAACCACAUAUUCAUGCAGCAGACAGUAGCAUGGUACUAGCUAUGUUGUUUAUUCAGAAAAUAGUUCUAUACCAGAGAACUUCUUUAUUUUAAGCUACAUAGCACCUAUAAACAUUUUGCUUUCAGCUGCAUUUUAUUUUCUUCUACUCAUUGCUGAAAUGUGUUAUUAAGCCUUGUAAGUGGAUAUUUUCAUGAUGGCUCAAUUCUCUCUCUUUGCUGCAUUCAGAUAUGAAUGCAAUUUUGAGUUCUGCUCUUUUAAAUGUUUUAUUUAAAACACUUUGACGAUGUACCAGAAAUAAACAUGAGAGCCUACCUAUGAUAACAUAA